rnacentral:rRNA from 1 species
UACGGAGGGUGCAAGCGUUAUCCGGAAUCACUGGGUUUAAAGGGUGCGUAGGCGGCUAAAUAAGUCAGAGGUGAAAUGUUAUCGCUUAACGAUAAAGUGGCCUUUGAAACUGUGUAGCUUGAAUAGGGUUGAGGUAGGCGGAAUGUGACAUGUAGCGGUGAAAUGCAUAGAUAUGUCAUGGAACACCAAUUGCGAAGGCAGCUUACUAGACCUUGAUUGACGCUGAGGCACGAAAGCGUGGGGAGCGAACAGG